GAGUUUGAUCUUGGCUCAGAUUGAACGCUGGCGGCAGGCCUAACACAUGCAAGUCGAGCGGAUGAAGGGAGCUUGCUCCUGGAUUCAGCGGUGGACGGGUGAGUAAUGCCUAGGAAUCUGCCUGGUAGUGGGGGAUAACGUCCGGAAACGGGCGCUAAUACCGCAUACGUCCUGAGGGAGAAAGUGGGGGAUCUUCGGACCUCACGCUAUCAGAUGAGCCUAGGUCGGAUUAGCUAGUUGGUGGGGUAAAGGCCUACCAAGGCGACGAUCCGUAACUGGUCUGAGAGGAUGAUCAGUCACACUGGAACUGAGACACGGUCCAGACUCCUACGGGAGGCAGCAGUGGGGAAUAUUGGACAAUGGGCGAAAGACCUGAUCCAGCCAUGCCGCGUGUGUGAGAAGGUCUUCGGAUUGUAAAGCACUUUAAGUUGGGUAGGAAGGGCGAGUAAGUUAAUACCUUG
rnacentral:rRNA from 1 species